rnacentral:rRNA from 1 species
GAUGAACGCUGGCGGCGUGCCUAAUACAUGCAAGUCGAGCGAACAGACGAGGAGUUUGCUCCUCUGACGUUAGCGGCGGACGGGUGAGUAACACGUGGAUAACCCACCUAUAAGACUGGGAUAACCUCGGGAAACCGGAGAUAAUACCGGAUAAUAUAUUGAACCGCAUGGUUCAAUAGUGAAAGACGGUUUUGCUGUCACUUAUAGAUGGAUUCGCGCCGUAUUAGCUAGUUGGUAAGGUAACGGCUUACCAAGGCAACGAUGCGUAGCCGACGUGAGAGGGUGAUCGGCCACACUGGAAGGUGAACGCGGACCAGAGUCCUGCGGGAGGCAGCAGACUGGUAUCGGCCGCAGUGGGCGGAAGCCUUGCGGAGCAGCGCCGCGUGUGUGAUGAAGAUCUCCGGUGCGUGAAACUCUGUUAUGAGGGAUGAACAAUUUUUUGCGGAACAGUAGACAUCUUGACGGUACCUGAACAGAAAGCCACGGCUAACUACGUG